rnacentral:rRNA from 1 species
AGGACGAACGCUGGCGGCGUGCUUAACACAUGCAAGUCGAGCGGUAAGGCCCCUUCGGGGGUACACGAGCGGCGAACGGGUGAGUAACACGUGAGCAAUCUGCCCUUCACACGGGGAUAACUCCGGGAAACCGGUGCUAAUACCCGAUACGACCACUUCAGGCAUCUGAUGGUGGUGGAAAGUUCCGGCGGUGGAGGAUGAGCUCGCGGCCUAUCAGCUUGUUGGUGGGGUAAUGGCCUACCAAGGCAACGACGGGUAGCCGGCCUGAGAGGGUGACCGGCCACACUGGGACUGAGACACGGCCCAGACUCCUACGGGAGGCAGCAGUGGGGAAUAUUGGACAAUGGGCGAAAGCCUGAUCCAGCAACGCCGCGUGAGGGAUGACGGCCUUCGGGUUGUAAACCUCUUUCAGCAGGGACGAAGCGCAAGUGACGGUACCUGCAGAAGAAGCACCGGCCAACUACGUGCCAGCAGCCGCGGUAAUACGUAGGGUGCGAGCGUUGUCCGGAAUUAUUGGGCGUAAAGGGCUCGUAGGCGGUUUGUCGCGUCGGGGGUGAAAACUCAGGGCUUAACCCUGAGCCUGCUUCCGAUACGGGCAGACUAGAGGUAUGCAGGGGAGAACGGAAUUCCUGGUGUAGCGGUGAAAUGCGCAGAUAUCAGGAGGAACACCGGUGGCGAAGGCGGUUCUCUGGGCAUUACCUGACGCUGAGGAGCGAAAGUGUGGGGAGCGAACAGGAUUAGAUACCCUGGUAGUCCACACCGUAAACGUUGGGCGCUAGGUGUGGGACUCAUUCCACGAG